GGAUCUUCCACAUGGGCGCAGCCUGAUGGAGCAACACCGCGUGAGUGAAGAAGGGUUUCGGCUCGUAAAGCUCUGUUGUUGAAGAAGAACGUGCGUGAGAGUAACUGUUCACGCAGUGACGGUAUUCAACCAGAAAGUCACGGCUAACUACGUGCCAGCAGCCGCGGUAAUA
rnacentral:rRNA from 1 species